AUUCCUCCUCUUCCUAUAGCAGGUACACCCCUAGAUUGUCCCUCUCACAUUGCUGUAUAAUCUUUAGUACAGUCCCUUCGUGUGACAUAUGUCUUUACCUGUAAUCAGGGGGCUUACACGCCCCCAAAAGAUAUAUAAGCCUUGGUUAGUAAUAAAUCACUCUCCUCUCUCCUACCUUCUCUGCCCAUGCUGUGCGUGGACCUGCCUGUUGAGAUCACGGCCAUUCAGGAGAUUACCUGUCUUGGAUUUCAUAGCCAGAAAACCAUCAAGAAACAAGAGAAAACAAAAGUUAACAACAAUAACGAAGUAAAACCGAUAAAGCUGUCAACCGAACAGGAAGCAGGGGCGGGAGGAAACCAGUCACCAAACAGAGAGCGUGGGAGAGAUGACUACAGAAGAUCAAACUGGUAAACCUGACUCGAACGGUUAACACCUUGACAGUCGAUCCCCCCUCUCUGAUGCACGUUGGGCCUGAUCUGGUUUUUCAACAUAUUUGGUAUUUCUCUUUGCUUGCUUCUCUUUGUUCACACUGAGUUUUAUCGCAGAUGUAUUUCGUCCUUGGAGUCUUGCUGUUGUGCUAUGGUUUUCUGUUUUUCAGAGUAUUCACCCCAGCAUUGAUAAACCUAUAGGGCCCACAAGUAGA